rnacentral:rRNA from 1 species
AGAGUUUGAUCCUGGCUCAGGAUGAACGCUGGCGGCGUGCUUAACACAUGCAAGUCGAACGAGAUCUUCGGAUCUAGUGGCGGACGGGUGAGUAACACGUGGGAAUCUGCCCUCAGGAGGGGGAUAACGGUCGGAAACGACCGCUAAUACCCCAUAUGCCGAAAGGUGAAAGAAUUUCGCCUGAGGAUGAGCCCGCGUCUGAUUAGCUUGUUGGUGGGGUAAUGGCCUACCAAGGCGACGAUCAGUAGCUGGUCUGAGAGGAUGAUCAGCCACACUGGGACUGAGACACGGCCCAGACUCCUACGGGAGGCAGCAGUGGGGAAUUUUCCGCAAUGGGCGAAAGCCUGACGGAGCAACGCCGCGUGGGUGAUGAAGGCCCUUGGGUCGUAAAACCCUUUUGUCGGGGACGAUAAUGACGGUACCCGAUGAAUAAGCAUCGGCUAACUCUGUGCCAGCAGCCGCGGUAAUACAGAGGAUGCAAGCGUUAUCCGGAAUUAUUGGGCGUAAAGCGUACGUAGGCGGCUAUUCAAGUCUGGGGUUAAAGCCCGCAGCUCAACUGCGGAAAGGCCUCGGAAACUGGAUGGCUAGAGUGCGGUAGAGGCAAGGGGAAUUCCCGGUGUAGCGGUGAAAUGUGGAGAUAUCGGGAAGAACACCAGCGGCGAAAGCGCCUUGCUGGACCGCAACUGACGCUGAGGUACGAAAGCCAGGGGAGCAAAUGGGAUUAGAUACCCCAGUAGUCCUG